GACGAACGCUGGCGGCGUGCCUAAUACAUGCAAGUUGAGCGAUGAAGCUUGGUGCUUGCACCAAUUUGAAGAGCAGCGAACGGGUGAGUAACGCGUGGGGAAUCUGCCUUUGAGCGGGGGACAACAUUUGGAAACGAAUGCUAAUACCGCAUAACAACUUUAAACAUAAGUUUUAAGUUUGAAAGAUGCAAUUGCAUCACUCAAAGAUGAUCCCGCGUUGUAUUAGCUAGUUGGUGAGGUAAAGGCUCACCAAGGCGAUGAUACAUGGCCGACCUGAGAGGGUGAUCGGCCACAUUGGGACUGAGACACGGCCCAAACUCCUACGGGAGGCAGCAGUAGGGAAUCUUCGGAAAUGGACGAAAGUCUGACCGAGCAACGCCGCGGGAGGGAAGAAGGUUUUCGGAUCGUAAAACUCGGUUGGUAGAGAAGAACGUUGGUGAGAGUGGAAAGCUCAUCAAGUGACGGUAACUACACAGAAAGGGACGGCUAACUACGUG
rnacentral:rRNA from 1 species